rnacentral:rRNA from 1 species
UGAUGGUGCUUGCACCUGAUUGAUUUUGGUCGCCAACGAGUGGCGGACGGGUGAGUAACACGUAGGUAACCUGCCCAGAAGCGGGGGACAACAUUUGGAAACAGAUGCUAAUACCGCAUAACAACGUUGUUCGCAUGAACAACGCUUAAAAGAUGGCUUCUCGCUAUCACUUCUGGAUGGACCUGCGGUGCAUUAGCUUGUUGGUGGGGUAACGGCCUACCAAGGCGAUGAUGCAUAGCCGAGUUGAGAGACUGAUCGGCCACAAUGGGACUGAGACACGGCCCAUACUCCUACGGGAGGCAGCAGUAGGGAAUCUUCCACAAUGGGCGCAAGCCUGAUGGAGCAACACCGCGUGAGUGAAGAAGGGUUUCGGCUCGUAAAGCUCUGUUGUUAAAGAAGAACACGUAUGAGAUUAACUGUUCAUACGUUGACGGUAUUUAACCAGAAAGUCACGGCUAACUACGUGCCAGCAGCCGCGGUAAUACGUAGGUGGCAAGCGUUAUCCGGAUUUAUUGGGCGUAAAGAGAGUGCAGGCGGUUUUCUAAGUCUGAUGUGAAAGCCUUCGGCUUAACCGGAGAAGUGCAUCGGAAACUGGAUAACUUGAGUGCAGAAGAGGGUAGUGGAACUCCAUGUGUAGCGGUGGAAUGCGUAGAUAUAUGGAAGAAACACCAGUGGCGAAGGCGGCUACCUGGUCUGCAACUGACGCUGAGACUCGAAAGCAUGGGUAGCGAACAGGAUUAGAUACCCUGGUAGUCCAUGCCGUAAACGAUGAGUGCUAGGUGUUGG